rnacentral:rRNA from 1 species
UGGGGAAUAUUGCACAAUGGGCGCACGCCUGAUGCAGCCAUGCCGCGUGUAUGAAGAAGGCCUUCGGGUUGUAAAGUACUUUCAGCGGGGAGGAAGGCGAUAAGGUUAAUAACCUUGUCGAUUGACGUUACCCGCAGAAGAAGCACCGGCUAACUCCGUGCCAGCAGCCGCGGUAAUACGGAGGGUGCAAGCGUUAAUCGGAAUUACUGGGCGUAAAGCGCACGCAGGCGGUCUGUCAAGUCGGAUGUGAAAUCCCCGGGCUCAACCUGGGAACUGCAUUCGAAACUGGCAGGCUAGAGUCUUGUAGAGGGGGGUAGAAUUCCAGGUGUAGCGGUGAAAUGCGUAGAGAUCUGGAGGAAUACCGGUGGCGAAGGCGGCCCCCUGGACAAAGACUGACGCUCAGGUGCGAAAGCGUGGGGAGCAAACA